rnacentral:rRNA from 1 species
AGUGAACGCUGGCGGUAGGCCUAACACAUGCAAGUCGAACGGCAGCACAGUAAGAGCUUGCUCUUACGGGUGGCGAGUGGCGGACGGGUGAGGAAUACAUCGGAAUCUACUUUUUCGUGGGGGAUAACGUAGGGAAACUUACGCUAAUACCGCAUACGACCUACGGGUGAAAGCAUGGGAUCUUCGGACCUUGCGCGAUUGAAGGAGCCGAUGUCGGAUUAGCGAGUUGGCGGGGUAAAGGCCCACCAAGGCGACGAUCCGUAGCUGGUCUGAGAGGAUGAUCAGCCAAACUGGAACUGAGACACGGUCCAGACUCCUACGGGAGGCAGCAGUGGGGAAUAUUGGACAAUGGGCGCAAGCCUGACCAAGCCAUACCGCGUGGGUGAAGAAGGCCUUCGGGUUGUAAAGCCCUUUUGUUGGGAAAGAAAAGCAGCAGGUUAAUACCUCGAUGUUCUGACGGUACCCAAAGAAUAAGCACCGGCUAACUUCGUG